GCUUUUAUUACUCUUGCAUUAAGCUGUAAGGGUAGUGGGAUUAAAUGAAUCAAUUUUAAGCAGACUACGUCACUCUCUUUAUGUAAUAGAAUGAGAAAUAGACGGAGAUGGUCAUUUUGUGUAUUCUGGUGAAGAGAGGCAUUAAAACAUUUAGUUGCAACACCCUACUUCUGCUUUGAAGAGAGAAACUGGUGAGUGAAUUAGUCACUCAUUCAUUUGUUAUUGUAAGCCUAUGUGGAACAAUUGGACCCAGAGAACAUAAAACAUUAAGAAAUCUAAACCACUAAAUCAGAAGACAGUUUUCUUUCACAAUCAAAUAGAAAAUGAAAACUGGCUCUGACCCUGUAUCAUGAGAACUGCUGAUGUCAAACUCAGCGUGACUCCGUCGUCUCCACCUUUUCUCCUCGACCCUCAAUUAAGAAUCAACAGUGGACAUGCAACGUUCGACGAACAGUGUCAUCAUUCACAAGGGAGAAGAUGAUCUUCAGGAUCCUGCUGCUCAUUAACCUGAACCCAUGUGUCUCUGGUUAGUUCACAUCUUCGGUCUUAGUAAUACAUUGAAGGACUUUUAUCAGGGAGAUUCUUUAUGUUCUGUUUGUCCUUGAAUUGUAGUUAUUAUUAGUAUUGCAUUACCUUUUGAAAACUGUACAGGACACAUAACUCUACAGAUAAAGUGUCACUUAUUCUUUCAUUUUCUCUCUGUGUCUCCUCAACAGGAACAUUUGUAGUGAAUGUGACACAGACCUCCUAUCAGGCAGAGGAGAACCACAACAUCACACUGGAGUGGACGUUCAAUAUCAGACCUGACAGAGCCAUCACCUUUCAUAUUAUCUACUGUGAACUGAUAACUGAUCUUAAACCUGUGGGGCUGUUUCAUCUACGUAAUGGUGUUGAGGUCUCAGAGUCUCAGGAUGAACAGUUUUCAGGAAGAGUCCAGUUUGACAAAGACGUCCUCAGAGAAGGACGAAUCAGACUCCGACUGUCCAGACUCAGGACUAAUGACUCGGGACUGUACCUUUGUAAAGUGGGAACAAAUUGUGGUUGGAGCUCUGGCAGAUGUCGACUCAACAUCACUGCGACAAGACAUUGGUCUGAACCUGAGACAAAACCUGAAGUCAACACAACACAUUGGGUAAUAAUUGGCAUUUACUGUGGAGUAGGACUAAUGGCUGUAGUUGCACUGGUUGUCUGUUACGUUUUGUGCAUUUACUCCAUACUUACUAUCUUCAGACUCCAGUAGUUUGUGAGAACGUACUGCUCAGCAGAUGGAUAGAUGGAAGCAAUGUGCUUAAUAAUGUCAAAGAGAAGAUGUUGCCAAAAAUUCUCCAUUGUACCAAUAACUUCACAGGUCACAGAAAUUACUUUUUUAUUUUAUUUUUACAAAAUACAUUUAAUAAUUAUUUAAACACAUGUUUCCUCGACAUACUUAAUCAUGUCAAGGAAACAUAAUCAUAAUCAUGAUUUAGGAGCCAGAGUUCAACAGCUGACACACACAAAACGUCCUAAUGGAGGAAACAGUUUUAUAUUUAUGUAUAUUAGAUGUGAAACAUGCUAAAUUCACUUUACUGAUACGAUAACAGGAGUCUACCUCAAACUGUAAAACAUAUAUUGAUAACCUAUGGUUUAAAAAAAACAAAAAGGAAAAAAAAGAAAAAUGGCUCUAUGUAAUACAAUGGCAAGAAAAAGUAAGUGAAUACAAUGCACUGCAAUGCAAUUUUUCGUUUUCUGCAAGAAAUUGUUCAUGAAAUGUGAUUUGAUCUUCAUAAAGAUUAGACCUCCAUAAUGUUUCUUGAAGGCCUGCUUCAGCUUGCACAUAUUCUUAAGACAUCAAGUGUGUUGAGAUUACGUCUUUACUCUGAUUGGACCACUCGAACACUCAGGAAUGAUGUUGGUUCACAUGCAUCUUUUUCAUACUUUUUCUUGCUUUCAUACUUUUUCAUUGUAAUUUCUUUAUGCAAUGACGCACUACAGUUGAGUGAAACUUGUUUAAAUGUUUUUAUAUUGAAGAUUUUUGUAGAGUAGAUUCACAUAAUCUGCUGCAGCACAAGUUUGUUUAUUGUUAGGUGUCAUAAAAAAAGUAUAAAUGUUUUUUCUGAGAUUGUGAACUACACACAUGGAGCUUUAAAGUUAAAUUACAUUAAUUCAGUUUAUUUUUAUUCUUUCAUUAUAUGAUGAAAGAUAGUACAGGUCACACGACGUAGUGCUUGCUUAAAUAAAUGUGUGUGUACUUUGUGCAUUGUAACAAUGCCCAUCAGUAGGUUUUACAACCUAAACAAGGUAGAAAUAUUAUUUGAUAUAAAAACUGUAAAACUGCACUUCUCAGCAGGAAUCAGCUGUUUGCUCAUUUAGAUCAUCAAGUUUGUUGGACUGUAUCAGAAAGAACUGCUGCUUUUGUUUGUUCAUUAAAAUGAUUGUUUGUUUCUAAGUAUGCACAAGUUGCAGACAUGUAGACACCAUAUAUAUCAUGUAGUACUGUAAACACUCAGCAGAAAGUGUCUAAAUGCACAAGAUAAUUUUUUUUAUCUCAACAGGAAUUUAUUUUUAAUUCAUUAAUUUAGUUUAUUAUAAAGUCUUGUAAACACACACACAAGUAAAUGAGAUAAAACAGUUAGUCACUGUAAUCACACAAUGAAUGUGCAUAAUUGAAAAUAACGAGGUUCUGCGUUUGUUCACAAGGAUUGAAAAUUUAAAAGUUAGAAAGUGCUGAUGAUGAUGAUGCAAAUAAAUAGAUUGCACAGACAAGAUACACUGAAAAAUACUAUAACAGUGUUUUUUCCACUUUUAAGAUUAGGUUAUUAUUAUUAUUUUCCUAUUAUUUGGCUAGUGGAUAAAAAAUGUUUCAGAUUUUAAGGGCCAAAAUAGUUCAUAGUUUAUAGUUUACACCUCAUAUAUACAAUAUAAAUAAUACACAAUAAUCACCCAGUUGAAAUGGGUCAGCAUGGAAAACAUAUGAAUGCUGCUGGUCAUAAUCAAAAUUUGUAUAAGAUCAUAAUCACAUAAAACUGGCACGUACUGCCCCUGCUGCCCUCUGUCUACCACAGUUUAAAACCACCAGGUGGUGGUAUUGUUGUGGCUGACUAGUAGACAUUUUUGUUUUCGUUUAGAUUUAUUUUGUUUUGACCAGAUUGAGGAAGCUUCUGGGUAAGUAGUUUGUUUUAAUCCUCUAUAUAUAUAAAAAAAGAUAAAAGCUUCUUGAUUGUUUGAUAUAAUAUAUUCAAUCUAUUGAGGUGCUAUAUACUGUAGAGCCAAAAGCUGAAAGAUGAAAAUGUCACAGACUAAAAAUAUGUGGAUCUAGCAGGAAAAAAAUAUAUACUGAUGUGUAUAUGGUGAUGAAUGAAUAGUAGUAUGAUGAAUGCAAUAAAGGAAAUAAGAUAUAUUUAGCUUCACACCACCAACACAGAAUAAUACAAAUAGCAAUAACAUGUCUGUGAUUAGUUGUAGCUUUGCUAAAAAUACUGAAGUGAGAAUUUACUUGCAGAAACUAAAAGGUUCUGAUUUCCAGCCUCUAAUGUUACUGUAUUUGGUAACGGGUAAAAGAGGUUUAGUGACAAUGAGAAGUGUACAGUGCCAGUCAGUCAGGAUAAGUCAUACCAGCUUCCCAUAAUUUAUGUCGUGUACAUUGACGAUUGGAGCAGUAAGGGGGGUCAACUUCAUUUCUUUGGUGAACAAUCAGGGACUCAGCACUAGAACUUCCUUCUGUUUUUAAUCUGCAUAUUUGACAUAAAGUAGAAAUAAGUACAGAUAAAAUACCAACGCACUGAAAUACAAACAAUAAAAUCAACUUAGCAAAAAUACCAUUCUGUUGUAGGUCGUCCCAAAGUAAUUUUACAAGGGCUGCAACAACUGUUGCAGCCAGAGUUCCUAUGAAUGCAGCCAGAAAAAUAAAUUCCUUUUCUCGUUGGAUGAUGAUGUUGUUGUUCUCCUUUGUCUCAUAAACAGUUGGAGACAUUUGAACAGCAAACACCCCUGUAGAGCAGAAAGAGAAAACAGAGUUGGCUAGCAUUACAAUUCUAAUCUGUGCAAUUGUAUUAUUAAUAUUAUUAUUUAUUAUCAACAUCAGCCUAAGACAAAUACUGUAAAGACAGAAGGGAAUGUUUUAAAAUUAAGCGUCUCAAAACACAAUUUUUGUUAUAGCUGUUUAGAAAGUCUACUUUUUUUUUUUUUUAAAUAAAUAGAGUAGGUUUUUAAGUAGGUUUUUAUUUUCAGUUAUCAGAGUAUCAUUGCAUGAAGAAGUCAUUUCAGGGCAUCAUUUUGAGAAAUCAUGAUAAACUGUUACGAACUGACUGACUGGACUGACGGGGACCAAACGGGUAUGAACAAAAAGAUAUUUAUUAACAAAAAGGGCAGGGGACACAGGGAACUAACACAAACUAACAAACAAAGUAUCAAAUUAAAGACCCAAAAACACGGCAGAGAGAUACAAACAAAACCAUAAACUGACAAAGUAGCAACUGAAAUCACUGCGGAAGGCAGGCAAACAAGAACAAACAUACAAAGCUAACUAGACAAAGUAGCAACGAAAAACCAUGUACUAACAUGGACAAGAACUAUAAGACGAACUAGAUGUACAAAGUAACAAACAAAAAUACACUGCAGACAGGCAGGCAACUCACAAACUCACAAAAACAAACUCACGGGCAAAACCAAGGUCCAACAAAGUGCAGUCCAGAACGAAAUAAACAAGAGUCCAGAGUAUCCAAAAAGAGUGACAAACUGACGAACGAGUGGUGUGGAUCCAUGAACAGUGUGCAGCAUGAAUGAAUAAGCAGGAGUGUCAAUGAAUGAGCGUGAAAGUCAACAAACCAGCAACGAACUGAGGACUGAGGGGUGCUUAUAAAACAGAGGGAUGCACAGGUGAACUGAAUGAGUCAAUUAGUCCAGAGUGUGGAGAGUGGGGGAAGAGGAAGUCCAUAUAUGGGUGUGUGGCAGGAGGGUGAGACACAGAACAAAAACAAAACAGAAUAACCU
rnacentral:lncRNA from 1 species